rnacentral:rRNA from 1 species
AAUCAACGCUGGCGGCGUGCCUCAGACAUGCAAGUCGAACGCGAAAGUCCCCUUCGGGGGAUAAGUAGAGUGGCGCACGGGUGAGUAACACGUAGGUAAUCUACCUUCGGAUGGGGAAUAACAACCGGAAACGGUUGCUAAUACCGCAUAAGGCAGCGGCACCUAAUGGUGACAGUUGUUAAAGCGGGGGAUCGAAAGACCUCGCGUCUAAAGAGGAGCCUGCGGCGGAUUAGCUAGUUGGAAGGUAAUGGCUUACCAAGGCUACGAUCCGUAACCGGCCUGAGAGGGCGGUCGGUCACACUGACACUGACAUACGGGUCAGACUCCUACGGGAGGCAGCAGUCGGGAAUUUUGGGCAAUGGGCGAAAGCCUGACCCAGCAACGCCGCGUGAAGGAUGAAAUCCCUCGGGAUGUAAACUUCGCAAGAACGGGAAGAAUAAGUAGGGGACAAUACCCCUAUGAUGACGGUACCGUUUGUAAGCUCCGGCUAACUCCGUGCCAGCCG